CCCUACGGGGGGCAGCAGUGGGGAAUAUUGCACAAUGGGGGAAACCCUGAUGCAGCGACGCCGCGUGAGUGAAGAAGUAAUUCGUUAUGUAAAGCUCUAUCAGCAGGGAAGAAAAUGACGGUACCCAAAGAGGAAGCUCCGGCUAACUACGUGCCAGCAGCCGCGGUAUACGUAGGGAGCGAGCGUUGUCCGGAAUUACUGGGUGUAAAGGGAGCGUAGGCGGGCGAGAAAGUUGAAUGUUAAAUCUACCGGCUUAACUGGUAGCUGCGUUCAAAACUUCUUGUCUUGAGUGAAGUAGAGGCAGG
rnacentral:rRNA from 1 species